rnacentral:lncRNA from 1 species
AACAUAUACCUUCCAGGACUCCUUUGAAGCUAGAGUGGCUACAACCUCAGUCUGGACAAAGAUAUAGAUUAUGGUGAAAGAACAGUUUGUCAUAAUUUUACAGAAGGC